rnacentral:tRNA from 5 species
GGGCGCAUAGCUCAGCGGGAGAGCACCUGCCUUACAAGCAGGGGGUCGCAGGUUCGAACCCUGCUGCGCCCACCG